CGAGGGGGCUUGCCCCCGUUGGAGUGCGAAGCGCUCCCGGUUUUUUUUCUGGCUCGCUGCACAACCCAACGGGGGCAAGCCCCCUCA
rnacentral:misc_RNA from 1 species